AUCGGAAUUACUGGGCGUAAAGCGUGCGCAGGCGGUUCUAUAAGACAGAUGUGAAAUCCCCGGGCUUAACCUGGGAACUGCGUUUGUGACUGUAGGACUUGAGUGUAGCAGAGGGGGGUGGAAUUCCACGUGUAGCAGUGAAAUGCGUAGAGAUGUGGAGGAACACCGAUGGCGAAGGCAGCCCCCUGGGUCGACACUGACGCUCAUGCACGAAAGCGUGGGUAGCAAACAGGAUUAGAUACCCUGGUAGUCCACGCCCUAAACGAUGCCAACUAGGUGUUGGAGAAGGAGACUUCUUUAGUACCGUAGCUAACGCGUGAAGUUGGCCGCCUGGGGAGUACGGUCGCAAGAUUAAAACUCAAAGGAAUUGACGGGGACCCGCACAAGCGGUGGAUGAUGUGGAUUAAUUCGAUGCAACGCGAAAAACCUUACCUACCCUUGACAUGCCAGGAACCCUGCAGAGAUGUGGGGGUGCUCGAAAGAGAGCCUGGACACAGGUGCUGCAUGGCUGUCGUCAGCUCGUGUCGUGAGAUGUUGGGUUAAGUCCCGCAACGAGCGCAACCCUUGUCAUUAGUUGCCAUCAUUCAGUUGGGCACUCUAAUGAGACUGCCGGUGACAAACCCGGAGGAACGGUGGGGAUGACGUCAAGUCCUCAUGGCCCUUAUGGGUAGGGCUUCACACGUCAUACAAUGGUCGGUACAGAGGGUUGCCAAGCCGCGAGGUGGAGCCAAUCCCAGAAAGCCGAUCGUAGUCCGGAUCGGAGUCUGCAACUCGACUCCGUGAAGUC
rnacentral:rRNA from 1 species